UAAUACGGAGGGUGCAAGCGUUAAUCGGAAUUACUGGGCGUAAAGCGCACGCAGGCGGUUUGUUAAGUCAGAUGUGAAAUCCCCGGGCUCAACCUGGGAACUGCAUUUGAAACUGGCAAGCUAGAGUCUCGUAGAGGGGGGUAGAAUUCCAGGUGUAGCGGUGAAAUGCGUAGAGAUCUGGAGGAAUACCGGUGGCGAAGGCGGCCCCCUGGACGAAGACUGACGCUCAGGUGCGAAAGCGUGGGGAGCAAACAGGAUUAGAUACCCUGGUAGUCCACGCUGUAAACGAUGUCGAUUUGGAGGUUGUGCCCUUGAGGCGUGGCUUCCGGAGCUAACGCGUUAAAUCGGACCGCCUGGGGAGUACGGCCGCAAGGUUA
rnacentral:rRNA from 1 species